GAUGAACGCUAGCUACAGGCUUAACACAUGCAAGUCGAGGGGCAUCACAGUGUAGCAAUACACGGGUGGCGACCGGCGCACGGGUGCGUAACACGUAUCCAAUCUGCCCGUUACUCGGGGAUAGCCUUCUGAAAGGAAGAUUAAUACCCGAUGGCAUGUAUUUCCGGCAUCGGAGAUACAUUAAAGAUUUAUCGGUAACGGAUGAGGAUGCGUGACAUUAGAUAGUAGGCGGGGUAACGGCCCACCUAGUCUGCGAUGUCUAGGGGUUCUGAGAGGAAGGUCCCCCACACUGGAACUGAGACACGGUCCAGACUCCUACGGGAGGCAGCAGUGGGGGAUAUUGCGCAAUGGGGGGCAACCCUGACGCAGCAACGCCGCGUGAAGGAAGAAGGUUUUCGGAUCGUAAACUUCUUUAAGUGGGGAAGAUAGUGACGGUACCCACAGAAUAAGCCACGGCUAACUACGUG
rnacentral:rRNA from 1 species